AGGUAAUUUUGUAAGGAAAGGUUACAAAUAUAAAGGUGUACAGGAAGGUUGGUUGGAAGACAGAUGUCAGCAAAGUAAAAUCAAUGAGGAUCAUCUGGAGGACAGCUAGAACGGGAUAUUGUGUUAUGAAG